UUUUACCUAUGUCAUUCGCGCGUUUGUCAAAUUGACUGAUGUGUAUGUGUACAUAGAGUGAGGUUAAUUUUGGGUUUAUUAUUGUUGAAUAGAUAAGUUUAUUAUGGCAGAGAAGAGAAAACGAGGAUAAACCUUUCUUGCAGAAGAAAAAGACAAGCUAGUGAAAUUGCUGACGUCUCAUAGAGACACCAUAUUAAACAAAAAAACGGAUGGGACCACGAACGAAGCCAAAAACAAAGCUUGGAUCCAGUUACAAAUAGUUUUAAUGCGAUAGGAACCGUUUACAGUUUCAGGUGGUGCGAGAAAUUGGAAAGACGUGUAAAAACAUGCUGCGCCCAGCCCACCUCAAAUUGAAUUGGUGCAGGAGGAUGAUGAUAAUGUUUGGUACAUCAUAUGAGGACUAAUAUUAAAAUAUUAGUUUACUAUCUUUGUUUUAA
rnacentral:lncRNA from 1 species